UACGUAGGGUGCAAGCGUUGUCCGGAUUAUUGGGUUUAAAGGGUGCGUAGGCGGCCCUGUAAGUCAGUGGUGAAAUACUCUAGCUUAACUAGAGGGGUGCCAAUGAUACUGCAGGGCUUGAGUACAGAUGAGGUAGGCGGAAUUGACGGUGUAGCGGUGAAAUGCAUAGAUAUCAGGAGGAACACCUGUGGUGUAGACAGCUUGCUGGACCAUUUCUGACGCUGAGACACGAAAGCGUGGGUAGCAAACAGG
rnacentral:rRNA from 1 species